rnacentral:lncRNA from 1 species
GGUCACCGCGCAUUUUUUCAAGCUACAGGACGGGAUAAAAUGACACAUUUUGUAUGGAUUAUACAGGAAAAAACACCAUUUUGUGAUUAGAAACUAAACAAAUGAUAGAAUUGUUAAAUACUUCAGGAAAAGAUAGCUUUCAGACACUGCUUUGAGAAUAUCAAAAGAAAAGAUAGGGUCACCGUACGUUUUUUCCGGCUAAAAUACAAAAUAGGAAAAUUCCAUACAGAAUCCUUCAGAAAAUGCACUUUUUUAGAGUUACCUCCCCUUAAAAUGCCAAUUAAAAAAAAAAAUAAAAACAACCAAAAAUAAUUAACAUUUGGAAAAAUAUCAAUAUUUAGAAGUUAUAUUCUUAUAAAUUGGUACUUUU